GAGAGCAGGAUCAGGACAGCAGUUGAGAUGGAAGCUGACUUUCUAGAAGGGCACCGGUGACCUUCAAGAGCAGGGUCAGGACAGUGGUUGAGAUGGAAGCUGACUUUCUAGAAGGGCACCGGUGACCUUCGAGAGCAGGGUCAGGACAGUGGUUGAGAUGGAAGCUGACUUUCUAGAAGAGCAUCGGUGACCUUCGAGAGCAGGGUCAGGACAGUGGUUGAGAUGGAAGCUGACUUGCUCGGCAGGAAUGCAUGUGGGGAUGGGGGCGGUGGACUCCCUUGACGCACUAACAAAGCCGACAGGCUGUGGGGGGGUGUGGCAUCAGGAAAAGCAGGGGGGCCCCUGUUCACUUCUGCAAGCAGAAGGUGAAAGGGGACAAUCUCUGAGGACCUGGGUGGGGCAAAGGACAGACCCCAGGACUGGACAGCUAGGGAAAGUGGUGUGGUGAGUUGAGAGCGGGAUAUUGAGAGCGGCAUGUACACAAGUGGCUUAGCUUUUGCCACUCCUCUUCUAUGGCGGGGAGUAAGCCAGUGAUUAAACCUCUUGAGAUCUCAGCAUCCCAUCUACAAACGGAGGGACUUUGACAAAGUUCCCAACACGGAAACAAACACACCACCCAACCCCGAUGCUCUAAUUCCAACCUUCAUGCCCCAAUUCUGAGUUUCCCAACUGGAAUGCUGGGGCCACCGCAAAGGUAUCCAGCAAAUGGCCAGAUACUGAUCCCUUUAGCCUUGGGGCUGUGGAGGGAGGGAGGUGUUCCCAGGCCCAUCACUUCCGGCCUCAGCAGCCUCUUCUGUUGAGGGAAGAGGAGUUACUCAUGUCGUCACUUCUGUUUCAAGUCCUGAAAAGGUCGGGAAGCAUUGCCUACACAGUCAUGCGAGGUCUCAAGCACGAGAUUUGGGGCUUUUGGAAGGAUCAGGUUCUUCUGAUUGCCCACCUCCCUCUGACCAAGCCCCUUCUCCAUCCCAGUGACACUGCUUUGUUCUUAGUACUGUCUCCCUUGCACCAGGGGUUACUCAGAAGGUUCUCAGAUGUUCGGAAGUGCUCACUGAAGCGAUUUGGAUUUGGGAUUUUCCGAUUAGGGAUGCUCAAGUGGCAUGUACAUAACACACAUAUUCCAAAAUCAAAAAAAAGCUGAACUCCAAAACACUCCUGGGCCCAAGCAUCUCAGGUUAGGGAUGCUCAACCUGUAUUUGCACAGAAUUUGGGAGAGAGUUUAGGUGCUAUUGUUGAAUGGGUGGCUACCUCAAGUCAAACUGUGCCCUUUCCUGUACUAGGUGACAGUGCCAAG
rnacentral:lncRNA from 1 species